ensembl:snRNA U7 U7 small nuclear RNA
AAGUGUUACAACCCUUUUAAAAUUUGUCUAGCAGGCUUUCUGGUUUUUGCUGGAAAGUGCCCCC